rnacentral:rRNA from 1 species
UAGUGGCGAACGGGUGAGUAACACGUGGGCAAUCUGCCCUGCACUCUGGGACAAGCCCUGGAAACGGGGUCUAAUACCGGAUACGAGCCUCCGAGGCAUCUUGGAGGUUGGAAAGCUCCGGCGGUGCAGGAUGAGCCCGCGGCCUAUCAGCUUGUUGGUGAGGUAACGGCUCACCAAGGCGACGACGGGUAGCCGGCCUGAGAGGGCGACCGGCCACACUGGGACUGAGACACGGCCCAGACUCCUACGGGAGGCAGCAGUGGGGAAUAUUGCACAAUGGGCGCAAGCCUGAUGCAGCGACGCCGCGUGAGGGAUGACGGCCUUCGGGUUGUAAACCUCUUUCAGCAGGGAAGAAGCGAAAGUGACGGUACCUGCAGAAGAAGCGCCGGCUAACUACGUGCCAGCAGCCGCGGUAAUACGUAGGGCGCGAGCGUUGUCCGGAAUUAUUGGGCGUAAAGAGCUCGUAGGCGGCUUGUCGCGUCGGUUGUGAAAGCCCGGGGCUUAACCCCGGGUCUGCAGUCGAUACGGGCAGGCUAGAGUUCGGUAGGGGAGAUCGGAAUUCCU